CAGUAGCCACGGGAAUACAGAGGAUGCAAGCGUUGUCCGGAAUUAUUGGGCGUAAAGGGCUCGCAGGCGGUUUCUUAAGUCUGAUGUGAAAGCCCCCGGCUCAACCGGGGAGGGUCAUUGGAAACUGGGAAACUUGAGUGCAGAAGAGGAGAGCGGAAUUCCAUGUGUAGCGGUGAAAUGCGUAGAGAUGUGGAGGAACACCAGUGGCGAAGGCGACUCUCUGGUCUGUAACUGACGCUGAGGAGCGAAAGCGUGGGGAGCGAACAGGAUUAGAUACCCCCGUAGUCCCUGUCUCUUAUAA
rnacentral:rRNA from 1 species